AUUGAACGCUGGCGGCAUGCCUUACACAUGCAAGUCGAGCGGCAGCGCGGGGGCAACCCUGGCGGCGAGCGGCGAACGGGUGAGUAAUGCAUCGGAACGUGUCCUUUUGUGGGGGAUAACCAGUCGAAAGACUGGCUAAUACCGCAUGAGCUCGAGAGAGGAAAGCAGGGGGACCCGAGGGUAACUUCGGGCCUUGCGCGAGAGGAGCGGCCGAUGCCCGAUUAGCAGUUGGUGAGGUAACGGCUCACCAAGGCGACGAUCGGUAGCUGGUUUGAGAGAACGACCAGCCACACUGGGACUGAGACACGGCCCAGACUCCUACGGGAGGCAGCAGUGGGAAUUUUGGACAAUGGGGGCAACCCUGAUCCAGCCAUGCCGCGUGUGUGAAGAAGGCCU
rnacentral:rRNA from 1 species